rnacentral:rRNA from 1 species
UAAAAAGCGUGGUAGACAACAGGGAUGCCCCAGUAACGGCGAGUGAAGCGGCAACAGCUCAAAUUUGAAAUCUGGCGCAAGCCCGAGUUGUAAUUUGUAGAGGGUGCCUCGGGAGCGGUCCGGCCUAAGUUCCUUGGAACAGGACGUCAUAGAGGGUGAGAAUCCCGUAUGCGGCCGGGUGCCAACCCCGUGUGAGGCCCCUUCGACGAGUCGAGUUGUUUGGGAAUGCAGCUCUAAAUGGGAGGUAAAUUUCUUCUAAAGCUAAAUACCGGCCAGAGACCGAUAGCGCACAAGUAGAGUGAUCGAAAGAUGAAAAGCACUUUGGAAAGAGAGUUAAAAAGUACGUGAAAUUGUUGAAAGGGAAGCGCUUACGACCAGACUCGGCCGCGGGGGAUCACCCCCCGCGGCCGGGCCAGCAUCGGUUCGGGCGGCCGGACAAAGGCCCCGGGAACGUAGCACCCUCCGGGGUGUGUUAUAGCCCGGGGUGCAAUGCGGCCAGCCCGGACCGAGGACCGCGUUCGCUAGGAUGCUGGCGUAAUGGUCGUCAGCGGCCCGUCUUGAAACACGGACCAU